rnacentral:rRNA from 1 species
UACGUAGGGUGCGAGCGUUGUCCGGAAUCAUUGGGCGUAAAGAGCGUGUAGGCGGCCCUGUAAGUCCGUUGUGAAAGUCGAGGGCUCAACCCCUCGAAUGCCGGCGGGAUACUGCAGGGCUAGAAUCCGGAAGAGGCGAGUGGAAUUCCUGGUGUAGCGGUGAAAUGCGUAGAUAUUGGGAGGAACACCAGUGGCGAAGGCGGCUCACUGGACCGGUACUGACGCUGAGGCGCGAAAAGCGUGGGGGAGCAAACAGG